UACGGAGGGGGCUAGCGUUGUUCGGAAUUACUGGGCGUAAAGCGCACGUAGGCGGCUUUGUAAGUUAGAGGUGAAAGCCCGGGGCUCAACCUCGGAUCGGCCGUGGCGACUCGUGGGCUGGAGCACUGUAGAGGCGGGUGGAAUUCCGGGUGUAGCGGUGGAAUGCGUAGAGAUCCGGAAGAACACCAGUGGCGAAGGCGGCCCGCUGGGCAGUGGCUGACGCUGAAGCGCGACAGCGUGGGGAGCAAACAGG
rnacentral:rRNA from 1 species